GCUGGUUCCUGAGAUGCUCCUUCUGCGAGGAGACCUCUCUGCUGGGACCUCUGGAGAAGAAACAGAAAAGAAGGCCUAAAGAUAGGAAACAAUCGAUGGUAAGCCGUAUGGAUCGGAGAGCUUCGUCGAACGUUGAAGCUUUGAGGAGGCAAUUGUCUAGGUGGCUGGAGGCCUAGGGACCGGAGGGUUGCUCUUGCGUCCUUCAUCGAAUGCAGCAUGUCGUUUGUGGUGGAGGCAAAAAGUUUUUCCCUGUCGAAGGGAAGAUCUUCAAUGGUGCUCUGGACCUCUCGAGGGAAGAAGGAGGAAGAGAGCCAUGAGCCCCGUCGCAUGACCACUGCUGUGGCGGUCGACCUUGCUGCAGUGUUAGCUACAUCGAGGGCCGCUUGGAGAGCGGUGCGUGAUAUGGUUUGUCCCUCGGAAACCA